rnacentral:lncRNA from 1 species
UUAAAACCCCAAAUCCUAUUUCCCCAAAUCCUGCUGAUUCUUCCGACGAUUCCAACCUUUCAGGUGAGCACGAGCGGCGAUACUUCCUCUCCGGCGAGCCCUGCAUCAUCACAUUCUUCUUUUCAUUUCAACUUCGCAACUUCCUGUCCGGUCUCUGCAACUUCGCAAGCAAAACUCCGGUUCUGGUUGGGAGGAAGAUAAAGACAAAGAUCGGUCAAGGGAAAUAACAGGUAACAUUGUGCCAUGUAUUUAUUUGUUCUGUUUUAUUUAAGAAUUGUGCCAAAUCCAUGUCAGUAGAAAACUAUUCAUUAAAAUCCAUGUCCAAAACUUUUACAUUUGAUUAAUGAUUUCAAAUGAUUGACAAACUCAAUGCAGAUCUGUUUUUUGUUUUUAAACUCAAUGCCUGUAUCUCUUUCAGAAGUAACUUUCUGGUGCAUUAGAGCAAGUUCUAGUAAUUCAUUUUCUGGCCUUAUAUCAUUUUUUUUACAUUACGUUUUGUUUCUGAUGAAUCUUAGAGUAACCAAACAAUGUGAUGGUCAAUGUUCAUUAAAAUUUAAAAUUAGCAAAUCAAGGAAGCUCAAAAAUAGUGAAGAUAGUUGGUUAACUUUUCUUCAUUGAAAUUUAAAAUUAGCAAAUCAAGGAUGCUCAAAAAUAGUAAAGAUAGUUGAUUAACUUUUCUAUGGUUGGGUUCCUUGGCCCAGGGAAUAAUGGAUGAAUCUUUUUUUAUUAAAGACUUGAAUAGUCUUUUUGUCAAUUUAAAAUAUUCAUGACAAUUUAAAAUGGAUGCAUUUUAUAUCAAAUUUUGGAUUUUAUAAGGAUUUUUCUCCUUAUAAUUAACUAAAAUCAGACCCAUCUCUAUAUUAACUAAAAUCAGGCUUUUUUCCCUUAUAAUGAAAAUACGAUAUCCAAUGUAUCGGUUUCCUAAUUGUAUUGGUUUAAAAUUCUUAGAAUGACCGAUGAUGAUCGAACUUGGAUGUAUAACCGGCAAGAUUCAAAGGGUCAUCUAACGGUGGAAUUUGGCAAUGUCGUCCUCAUUUCUUGAAAUUUGCAAGAGAAACACUUGGAUGUGAAAGAAUAAAGUGCCCAUGCUUUACUUGUUGUUGUUCAUUUUAUUUUUCGAUAGAUGAAGUGGGUAUUCACCUUUAAAAAAACGGGUUCAUGACUGAUUAUUCUAUUUGGCAUCAACAUGGUGAAAUCGAUAGCUCAAGAAAAAAAGCACGGAUAGAAAUUUUCGAAGAAUAAGGCCAUACUACCUUUGAAGUUGGAUCUAGUAGUAACAAUCCAAUAGUCAAUAGGUUCAUGAUGCAAGUAGACCCUUC